UCGAUACGGUCGGAGCUCCGCUCGCCGCCCUAACCCUGUCGCCUCCUCCGUGCUCUUCGAUUCCCGCGCUGCUCGCCUGCGGAGGGGAGUAGGCGAAAGCGGGAGGGAAAGCGGAGGCGGAAAGCAGGCGUGAUGGGGAAAGGCGAGCGGUCGGGGGAAGCAAAGGAGAGAAGUCCGCUUGUAGCGCAAACUUUGCAGUGCUAAAACGAGUGAAAUCGGGUAUACCUAAGGCCAUGACUCCUCCAUGGUAAAUGGUCCCGAGAGUCGUUAAGAUUGCCAACUUAUUUCUUGACAGAGUUCCUGUGCCUGGCUAGUAGCCAAAACUCCAGCAGCAGGUGAAGCGUUUCCUGUCUCCGCAUUCCGUGCUCUGAAAACGCUGAAUUCUGCCGUCAAGCAGUUCUGCCCGACAUGCACCCAAGUUCUGCUCGAGUUUUCUUUUGCAACCGCCGGGCCUCUCAAGUCAAGGCCACAACGUGUGCGUUACGCGGAUUCCCCGGAGCCACGGGUGUAUCGAAGUCAUAGAGCAAACAGAAUAAAACAAACAGUGGCCUGAAUAUA